CAAUCCGCCCUUUUAAGGGCGAUCAAUACUUUCUUGGAAAUCUCU
rfam:Acromyrmex echinatior unplaced genomic scaffold scaffold207, whole genome shotgun sequence.